GAAACGGUGGCUAAUACCGGAUAUGCCNAAAGGUGAAAGGUUAACUGCCUGGAGAUGAGCUCGCGUCUGAUUAGCUAGUUGGUAGGGUAAAAGCUUACCAAGGCGACGAUCAGUAGCUGGUCUGAGAGGACGAUCAGCCACACUGGGACUGAGACACGGCCCAGACUCCUACGGGAGGCAGCAGUGGGGAAUUUUCCGCAAUGGGCGAAAGCCUGACGGAGCAAUACCGCGUGAGGGAGGAAGGCUCUUGGGUUGUAAACCUCUUUUCUCAAGGAAGAAAAAUGACGGUACUUGAGGAAUAAGCAUCGGCUAACUCCGUGCCAGCAGCCGCGGUAAUACGGAGGAUGCAAGCGUUAUCCGGAAUGAUUGGGCGUAAAGCGUUCGCAGGUGGCAUUGAAAGUCUGCUGUCAAAGAGUCUGGCUCAACCAGAUACAGGCAGUGGAAACUUCAAAGCUAGAGUGCGGUAGGGGCAGAGGGAAUUCCUGGUGUAGCGGUGAAAUGCGUAGAGUUCAGGAAGAACACCGGUGGCGAAAGCGCUCUGCUAGGCCGCAACUGACACUGAGGGACGAAAGC
rnacentral:rRNA from 1 species